rfam:Mustela putorius furo unplaced genomic scaffold scaffold00053, whole genome shotgun sequence.
CAUUCAGAACCUACUUCUAGAAGUGGUAAUAAUGAGGCCAUUGAAAGAACUGGAAGGGACUGCCUCUCUCCCCCCGCACCUAGGUCCCCAUUCUGAAUUCCCAUUCGGG